rnacentral:tRNA from 1 species
GCUGUUUUGGCAGAUUUAGUGCAUUAAAUUUAGAAUUUAAUUAGAUGAUUAAAUGAUCAUAUACAGUA